rnacentral:tRNA from 2 species
GCGGAUGUGGCGGAACUGGCAGACGCGCUAGAUUUAGGAUCUAGUAUCUUUCGAUGUGGGGGUUCGAAUCCCUUCAUCCGCACCA